AGAGUUUGAUCAUGGCUCAGAACGAACGCUGGCGGCGCGUUUUAAGCAUGCAAGUCGAACGGUAUCCGUCCGACCACUAAACCCAUUAGGCGAGUAACGCUGGAUUUCCGGCAAAUGGAAAAGCAGUGAAGAAAGUUUUGUGAGUUUAGUGGUCGGACGGAGAGAGUGGCGCACGGGUGAGUAACACGUAGGUGAUCUGCCCUUGGAUUGGGGAUAGCUCAUGGAAACAUGAGAUAAUACCGAAUACGCCCGACCACUAAAUCAUACAGACAAGGAGGGAUGAAUACUCUUUUUGUAGGCAUGAUUUAGUGGUCGGGGAAAGCUCCUUUACGGGAGCGUCCUUGGAUGAGCCUGCGGUCCAUUAGCCAGUUGGUGGGGUAACGGCCUACCAAAGCGACGAUGGAUAGCCGGCCUGAGAGGGUGUACGGCCACACUGGAACUGAGACACGGUCCAGACUCCUACGGGAGGCAGCAGCUAAGAAUCUUCUGCAAUGGGCGAAAGCCUGACAGAGCGACGCCGCGUGAACGAUGAAGGCCGCAAGGUUGUAAAGUUCUUUUCUUUGUGAGGAAUAAGGGAGAGAGGAAAUGCUCUUCUGAUGACGUAAGCGAAGGAAUAAGCCCCGGCCAAUUACGUGCCAGCAGCCGCGGUAAUACGUAUGGGGCGAGCGUUGUUCGGAAUCAUUGGGCGUAAAGGGCGUGUAGGCGGCAUAGCAAGCUUGGUGUGAAAUGUCACGGCUUAACCGUGAAUGUGCGCUGAGAACUGCUAAGCUUGAGUUUUGGGGGGGAAGCUGGAAUUCCUGGUGUAGGGGUGAAAUCUGUAGAUAUCAGGAAGAACACCGAUGGCGAAGGCAAGCUUCUAUCCAAAGACUGACGCUGAGGCGCGAAAGUGUGGGGAGCGAACAGGAUUAGAUACCCUAGUAGUCC
rnacentral:rRNA from 1 species